GACGAACCGUCCGACCGUUAUUCGGAAUCACUGGGCUUAAAGGGUGCGUAGGCGGCGCGGAAAGUUGGGUGUGAAAUCCCUCGGCUCAACCGAGGAACUGCGCCCAAUACUACCGUGCUCGAGGGAGAUAGAGGUGAGCGGAACUUAGGGUGGAGCGGUGAAAUGCGUUGAUAUCCUAAGGAACACCGGUGGCGAAAGCGGCUCACUGGAUCUCUUCUGACGCUGAGGCACGAAAGCUAGGGGAGCAAACGGG
rnacentral:rRNA from 1 species